UGAGGAAUAUUGGACAAUGGGCGAGAGCCUGAUCCAGCCAUGCCGCGUGCAGGACGACUGCCCUAUGGGUUGUAAACUGCUUUUAUACAGGAAGAAACACUGCUACGUGUAGCAGCUUGACGGUACUGUAAGAAUAAGGAUCGGCUAACUCCGUGCCAGCAGCCGCGGUAAUACGGAGGAUCCAAGCGUUAUCCGGAAUCAUUGGGUUUAAAGGGUCCGUAGGUGGAUAAUUAAGUCAGGGGUGAAAGUCUGCAGCUCAACUGUAGAAUUGCCUUUGAUACUGGUUAUCUUGAAUCAUUAUGAAGUAGUUAGAAUAUGUAGUGUAGCGGUGAAAUGCAUAGAUAUUACAUAGAAUACCAAUUGCGAAGGCAGAUUACUAAUAAUGUAUUGACACUGAUGGACGAAAGCGUGGGGAGCGAACA
rnacentral:rRNA from 1 species